rnacentral:lncRNA from 1 species
AAAGAAUGUCAUCUUGUCUUUGUUUUCUUAAUACAUUUUAACUUAAUGUUGUUUAUCAUGUUCGUUUUUUCUUUGUUUAGGUAAAAUACUUAUUUUGUGAUAAAACGGGAACCCUCACUUGCAAUAUUAUGACAUUUAAGAAGUGUACCAUUGCAGAAAUCAGUUAAACACAAGUGAUGUUAUAGACAACUUAAGUCAGCCGCCUUCUCCCAUCACAGACUCCUGUGAAUUUGAUGACCCAACAUUAUUGCAGAACUUGGAGAGUAACCAUGUAAGUCUGCUUUUUUCACUCUGUCAACAGGGUAAUGCUAUAUAACUUUAAAACAUUUGU